rnacentral:rRNA from 1 species
GACGAACGCUGGCGGCGUGCUUAACACAUGCAAGUCGAACGGAAAGGCCCUGCUUUUGUGGGGUGCUCGAGUGGCGAAAGGGUGAGUAACACGUGAGUAACCUGCCCUUGACUUUGGGAUAACUUCAGGAAACUGGGGCUAAUACCGGAUAGGAGCUCCUGCUGCAUGGUGGGGGUUGGAAAGUUUCGGCGGUUGGGGAUGGACUCGCGGCUUAUCAGCUUGUUGGUGGGGUAGUGGCUUGCCAAGGCUUUGACGGGUAGCCGGCCUGAGAGGGUGACCGGCCACAUUGGGACUGAGAUACGGCCCAGACUCCUACGGGAGGCAGCAGUGGGGAAUAUUGCACAAUGGGCGGAAGCCUGAUGCAGCAACGCCGCGUGCGGGAUGACGGCCUUCGGGUUGUAAACCGCUUUCGCCUGUGACGAAGCGUGAGUGACGGUAAUGGGUAAAGAAGCACCGGCUAACUACGUG